GAAGAUGUUGAAUAUGCACUGGGCUCUGAGUAGUUGAUUAUCAGCUGUCUUAUUGAUGGAAAGUGCAGCCCUAGAAAGUUAUAUCUGAUGU